rnacentral:Y_RNA from 1 species
GGCUGUUUCGAAGGUAGUGAGUUAUCUCACUUGAUUGUUCAGUCAGUUACAGAUUGAACUCCUUGUUCUACUACUUAACCGCCCUCCUCACUACUGCACUUGACUAGUCUUUA